AACAUAUUAACCACGAGCACGGAAUUAGAAUUUAUGACAAGAAUGUUUUACUUCGUAUUCUUCCAAAGUCAGUCAUAACCUUUGUUGAGCACUGUUCCGUGAAGUUGACACACUUUGAGUACCAAAAACUGCAUUCUGACAGACCAGAACCGAAAUGUCCAAGAUAUUGCUUGUAUUGAUGAUCGUAUGCUUCGCAUCUGUGCACAGUUCCCCGUUUUUAUUCCAACCACCAAUUGGGAACUGUGAAUGCAUACAUCCAGAGCACUGCGGCCAGUAUAAUAUAUGCCAAGGUGCCAUCUGCAAUACACUCAGUUCCUGUUGUCUUUGUAGCUGUGAAAGUGCUGUUUGCAAGUACAUGGAUAUUUUCGGCUGAUUUUGAUGAAGUCAAAAAUGAAUUAAACUAACUCAUGAAAUGUGGCAUGUAUUGAGGGUAUAAAACGAAUAAAACUGGUUUAAACUA